rnacentral:rRNA from 1 species
GCAUAUCAAUAAGCGGAGGAAAAGAAAAUAACAAUGAUUCCCCCAGUAACUGCGAGUGAAGAGGGACAAGCUCAAAUUUUAAAUCUGUCGGGAUCUCCUGACCGAGUUGUAAUUUGAAGAAGCGUUUUCCGCGCCGUUUGAUCAGCCCAAGUCUUAUUGAAUGAGGCAUCAUGGAGGGUGAUAAUCCCGUUCGGUUGGUCAAACUGUGCUCUACGAUACGCUUUCAAAGAGUCAAGUUGUUUGGGAUUGCAGCUUAAAAUGGGAGGUAAAUUUCUCCUAAGGCUAAAUAUUGGCGAGAGACCGAUAGCGAACAAGUACCGUGAGGGAAAGAUGAAAAGAACUUUGAAAAGAGAGUUAAACAGUACGUGAAAUUGUUGAAAGGGAAACGAUUGAAGCCAGUCGUACCGGCGGGUAAUCAGCCUUUCGGGUAUGAUUCUGUGGAGCGUGAGGAGUUAAACGCCUUCAUGCCUGCAUAUUCGUGCUCUUGGGUGUACUUGCUCGUGUGGUUGGUUAACAUCAAUUUCGGAUAUCAUAAAAUGGCUGGAGGAAUGUAGCUUCGAUUUCGAUUGAAGUGUUAUAGCCUUCGGCAGAUGUGAUGAUCGGGAUUGAGGAUUGCAACGGAUACCUUUCGGGGCUACCUGUCUGAUCUCUGAUCGUUGCUCUGGUGCCGAAAGCGUGCUUACGGUUAUCAAAGUCGAUGGUCAAUAGGUUAGAAUGGGUUAAAUUCGUUAAGGAUGUUGACGUA